AACGUAGGAGACAAACGUUAUCCGGAGUUACUGGGCGUAAAGGGCGUGUAGGUGGUUUCGUAAGUCUGGCGUGAAAUUUCCCGGCUUAACCGGGAGUGGUCGUCGGAUACUGCGGGACUAGAGGACGGUAGAGGCGUGUGGAAUUCCGGGUGUAGUGGUGAAAUGCGUAGAGAUCCGGAGGAACACCAGUGGCGAAGGCGACACGCUGGGCCGUACCUGACGCUGAGGCGCGAAAGCGUGGGGAGCAAACAGG
rnacentral:rRNA from 1 species